rnacentral:rRNA from 1 species
GACGAACGCUGGCGGCGUGCUUAACACAUGCAAGUCGAACGGAAAGGCCCUGCUUUUGUGGGGUGCUCGAGUGGCGAACGGGUGAGUAACACGUGAGUAACCUGCCCUUGACUUUGGGAUAACUUCAGUAAACUGGGGCUAAUACCGGAUAUGAGCUCCUUCUGCAUGGUGGGGGUUGGAAAGUUUCGGCGGUUGGGGAUGGACUCGUGGCUUAUCAGCUUGUUGGUGGGGUAGUGGCUUACCAAGGCUUUGACGGGUAGCCGGCCUGAGAGGGUGACCGGCCACAUUGGGACUGAGAUACGGCCCAGACUCCUACGGGAGGCAGCAGUGGGGAAUAUUGCACAAUGGGCGGAAGCCUGAUGCAGCAACGCCGCGUGCGGGAUGACUGCCUUCGGGUUGUAAACCGCUUUAGCCUGUGACGAAGCGUGAGUGACGGUAAUGAGUAAAGAAGCACCGGCUAACUACGUG